ACCGGCGACCAUACCACGUUGAAAGCACUGGUUCUCGUCCGAUCACCGCAAUUAAGCAACGUUGGGCCCGGUCAGUACUUGCAAAGUAUUAGUAGGAAUAAGAAACAUCCCAGUC
rnacentral:rRNA from 1 species